CACGGNGGAACGGGUAGCUUUCUUCGGNAACCGNUGAGACAGUGUGUGUGCAUUGGUUGUCGUCAGCUCGUGUCGUGAGAUGUUGGGUUAAGUCCCGCAACGAGCGCAACCCUUAUCCUUAGUAGCCAGCGGUUAGGGCGGGCACUCUAGGGAGACUGCCCAGGAUAACCUGGAGGAAGUGGGGAUGACGUCAGAUCAUCAUGGCCCCUUAUGAUUNGGGCUACACACGUGCUACAAUGGCGUAUAACAAAGGGAAGCGAAUCCGNGGAGGAGGAGCAAAUCUCGAAAAAUUAGCGUCCCAGUCUCGGACUGUGAGUCUGCAACCCGAUUACACAAAGGCUUGGAAUCGCUANAUAAUCGCGAAUCAGAAUGUCGCGGUGA
rnacentral:rRNA from 1 species